GGAUGCGAUCAUACCAGCACUAAAGCAUCGGAUCCCAUCAGAACUCCGAAGUUAAACGUGCUUGGGCGAGAGUAGUACUAGGAUGGGUGACCUCCUGGGAAGUCCUCGUGUUGCAUUCC
rnacentral:rRNA from 1 species